UACGUAGGGUGCAAGCGUUGUCCGGAAUUAUUGGGCGUAAAGAGCUCGUAGGCGGUCUGUCGCGUCUGCUGUGAAAACUCGGGGCUUAACCCCGGGCCUGCAGUGGGUACGGGCAGACUAGAGUGCGGUAGGGGAGACUGGAAUUCCUGGUGUAGCGGUGAAAUGCGCAGAUAUCAGGAGGAACACCAGCGGCGAAGGCGGCGCUCUGGGCCAUGCCUGACGCUCAGGUGCGAAAGCGAGGGGAGCGAACAGG
rnacentral:rRNA from 1 species